rnacentral:lncRNA from 1 species
UGGAAAAACAUGAACUCAUUGAGUUCAGGAGAAUUGCUGCUUAUCUCUUCAAAGGCAACAAUCGCUGGAAACAGAGUGUAGAGCUGUGCAAGAAAGACAGCCUUUACAAGGAUGCAAUGCAGUAUGCUUCUGAAUCUAAAGAUACUGAAUUGGCUGAAGAACUCCUGCAGUGGUUUUUGCAGGAAGAAAAAAGAGAGUGCUUUGGAGCUUGUCUGUUUACCUGUUACGAUCUUUUAAGGCCAGAUGUCGUCCUAGAAACUGCAUGGAGGCACAAUAUCAUGGAUUUUGCCAUGCCCUAUUUCAUCCAGGUCAUGAAGGAGUACUUGACAAAGGUUGAUGCAAUAAAGGAAAAGGUGAAAGUUGAUUCUUUAACAUCUUUAAGUCUGGAGGACUAAGUCUAAGGAAUUUGCAUGAUGUUUUUCCUUCCUCUUCUACACUGCUGCUGCUGCUUUUUCCCCCCAAUAAAUUUUCACUAAAGC